UCUGGGACAAGCCCUGGAAACGGGGUCUAAUACCGGAUAACACUCUGUCCCGCAUGGGACGGGGUUGAAAGCUCCGGCGGUGAAGGAUGAGCCCGCGGCCUAUCAGCUUGUUGGUGGGGUGAUGGCCUACCAAGGCGACGACGGGUAGCCGGCCUGAGAGGGCGACCGGCCACACUGGGACUGAGACACGGCCCAGACUCCUACGGGAGGCAGCAGUGGGGAAUAUUGCACAAUGGGCGAAAGCCUGAUGCAGCGACGCCGCGUGAGGGAUGACGGCCUUCGGGUUGUAAACCUCUUUCAGCAGGGAAGAAGCGAGAGUGACGGUACCUGCAGAAGAAGCGCCGGCUAACUACGUGCCAGCAGCCGCGGUAAUACGUAGGGCGCAAGCGUUGUCCGGAAUUAUUGGGCGUAAAGAGCUCGUAGGCGGCUUGUUGCGUCGGUUGUGAAAGCCCGGGGCUUAACCCCGGGUCUGCAGUCGAUACGGGCAGGCUAGAGUGUGGUAGGGGAGAUCGGAAUUCCUGGUGUAGCGGUGAAAUGCGCAGAUAUCAGGAGGAACACCGGUGGCGAA
rnacentral:rRNA from 1 species